rnacentral:rRNA from 1 species
CCCUUAGAUGUUCGGGGCCGCACGCGCGCUACACUGAAGGAAUCAGCACGUCUUUCUCCUUGUCCGAAAGGACUGGGUAACCCGCUGAACUUCCUUCGUGCUAGGGAUUGGGGCUUGUAAUUCUUCCCCAUGAACGAGGAAUUCCCAGUAAGCGCGAGUCAUAAGCUCGCGUUGAUUACGUCCCUGCCCUUUGUACACACCGCCCGUCGCUACUACCGAUUGGAUGGUUUAGUGAGAUCCUCGGAUUGGUCCCGGAGCGGCCUCUGGUCGUGCCGGAGUGCCGAAAAGAAUGUCGAACUUGAUCAUCUAGAGGAAGUAAAAGUCGUAACA